rnacentral:rRNA from 1 species
ACGCACGCUGGCGGCGUGCCUAAUACAUGCCAGUCGAGCGGACUUUCCAGAAGCUUGCUUUUUGAAAGUUAGCGGCGGACGGGUGAGUAACACGUGGGCAACCUGCCUGCAAGACGGGGAUAACUCCGGGAAACCGGGGCUAAUACCGGAUAAUAUCUUCCUUCGCAUGAAGGAAGGUUGAAAGGCGGCGCAAGCUGCCGCUUGCAGAUGGGCCCGCGGCGCAUUAGCUAGUUGGUGAGGUAACGGCUCACCAAGGCGACGAUGCGUAGCCGACCUGAGAGGGUGAUCGGCCACACUGGGACUGAGACACGGCCCAGACUCCUACGGGAGGCAGCAGUAGGGAAUCUUCCGCAAUGGACGAAAGUCUGACGGAGCAACGCCGCGUGAGCGAAGAAGGUCUUCGGAUCGUAAAGCUCUGUUGUCAGGGAAGAACAAGUACCGUUCGAACAGGGCGGUACCUUGACGGUACCUGACCAGAAAGCCACGGCUAACUACGUG